AGCUGCCAGGGCAGUGGAGCAAGGCCUGGUGGUUACCGUCUGUUGGAAUGGGAGGGACACUGGAAUGAGCUGGGACUGGCUGUAGGAGCUGCUGAUCCAGCCCUGGUCUGAUUCAGAACCUAGCAGAAGGAGAUGAAGCCAGAUGUCUUGACAGAGGCCUGUAAUUCCAGUUACAUGGAAGACUGAGGCAGGAGGAUCACAAGUUCAAGAACCCAGGACCAGCAGCCCAGAGGCAGCACCACACACAGUGGACUGAGCCCCUCUCCCCGCCAAUCACUAAUUCAGAAAGUGUGCUACAGAUUUGCCUGCAGCCUGAUCUCAUGAAGGCAUGUUCUCAGUUGAAGUUCCCUUUCCUCUGACGACUCUAGCUUGUGUUAGAGCACCAUAAAACUACCUGGCACAGAAUACUUAAAGACCCAAACAGUUGCUUAGAUCUUAGUCAGAUAAAUAAACUGUGAAAAACUAUUUGUAAAAAUCAAGGAAAUUUCAACAAUAAAUGGGGUUCUGAUG